GCCUUUGGCCCAGCAAUAUUACUACUAGGCAUAUUUCCAAAGAUGUCAAAGACAGAUGAAAAGGACUCAAAUAUGUAGAAGAAUUUGCAUCAGCUCCUUUCAUUGAAGCAGAGUUGGAAACAAAAUAUGUGACAACCAAUUGAAGAAUAGCAAAAACAAAUGGGGAGUAUGAAUGUAAUGGAAUAUUAUUGUGUCAUAAGGAGUGAUGAAUAUGCCUGAGUCAGAGAGACAUGGGAAGACUUGCAUGGACUAGUACUGAAUGAAAUGAGAAGAAUCAGAUUUACAUGAAGAUCACAAUAAUACAGAGAGAAAUAACGUUGAGAGAGGACAGAACUCAGAUCCAUUACUAGUCAGUGUCUAAUCAUAACUUCUGAUGGCUGAUGAUGAAACUUGCUACCUACUCUUGGCAGGAAAAUGCCUACAAAAGACACUGGCUGAAGGCUGAGGGGCCAUUUUCGAGACAAGACCGGGAGAAAUCAGGACAACCUUCUCGGGUAUCUCCCAUUGUCUAUGAUCUUUCAGAGAUCACUGACAGUAAUCACAUCUGCCAGGUAUUUCAAUUCCCUGGGAUGUAGUUCAUCUGGGUCUGAUGACUUAAACCUGAUGAGGUACUUGGUCUUUAAUCUGGUUGAAUGAUCUGGAGUGUCUCCUUUUGAGAGCAAUGUGAACAAAUUCCUUGUACAGAACCAUGAUCACGAAUAUCCGGGAG
rnacentral:lncRNA from 1 species